CAGUAGCCGCGGUAAAACGUAGGGUGCAAGCGUUAAUCGGAAUUACUGGGCGUAAAGCGUGCGCAGGCGGUUUGUUAAGACAGAUGUGAAAUCCCAGGGCUCAACCUGGGAACUGCAUUUGUGACUGGCAAGCUAGAGUGUGGCAGAGGGGGGUAGAAUUCCGCGUGUAGCAGUGAAAUGCGUAGAUAUGCGGAGGAACACCGAUGGCGAAGGCAGCCCCCUGGGCCAACACUGACGCUCAUGCACGAAAGCGUGGGGAGCAAACAGGAUUAGAUACCCCCGUAGUCCCUGUCUCUUAUAC
rnacentral:rRNA from 1 species